UNUGACUUGAGUGCAGAAGGGGAGAGUGGAAUUCCAUGUGUAGCGGUGAAAUGCGUAGAUAUAUGGAGGAACACCAGUGGCGAAAGCGGCUCUCUGGUCUGUCACUGACGCUGAGGCUCGAAAGCGUGGGUAGCGAACAGGAUUAGAUACCCUGGUAGUNCACGCCGUAAACGAUGAGUGCUAGGUGUUAGGCCCUUUCCGGGGCUUAGUGCCGGAGCUAACGCAAUAAGCACUCCGCCUGGGGAGUACGACCGCAAGGUUGAAACUCAAAGGAAUUGACGGGGGCCCGCACAAGCGGUGGAGCAUGUGGUUUAAUUCGAAGCAACGCGAAGAACCUUACCAGGUCUUGACAUCCCGAUGCUAUUCUUAGAGAUAGGAAGUUACUUCGGUACAUCGGAGACAGGUGGUGCAUGGUUGUCGUCAGCUCGUGUCGUGAGAUGUUGGGUUAAGUCCCGCAACGAGCGCAACCCUUAUUGUUAGUUGCCAUCAUUAAGUUGGGCACUCUAGCGAGACUGCCGGUAAUAAACCGGAGGAAGGUGGGGAUGACGUCAAAUCAUCAUGCCCCUUAUGACCUGGGCUACACACGUGCUACAAUGGUCGGUACAACGAGUUGCGAGCCGGUGACGGCAAGCUAAUCUCUGAAAGCCGAUCUCAGUUCGGAUUGGAGGCUGCAACUCGCCUCCAUGAAGUCGGAAUCGCUAGUAAUCGCGGAUCAGCACGCCGCGGUGAAUACGUUCCCGGGCCUUGUACACACCGCCCGUCACACCACGAGAGUUUGUAACACCCGAAGUCGGUGAGGUAACCUUUUAGG
rnacentral:rRNA from 1 species